rnacentral:rRNA from 1 species
UACGGGGGGGGCAAGCGUUGUUCGGAAUUACUGGGCGUAAAGGGCUCGUAGGCGGCCAACUAAGUCAGACGUGAAAUCCCCAGGCUCAACCUGGGAACUGCGUCUGAUACUGGAUGGCUUGAAUCCGGGAGAGGGAUGCAGAAUUCCUGGUGUAGCGGUGAAAUGCGCAGAUAUCAGGAGGAACACCGGUGGCGAAGGCGGGUCUCUGGGCCGAUACUGACGCUGAGGAGCGAAAGCAUGGGUAGCGAACAGG